ensembl:lncRNA
GACUGAACAGGAACUCUGCAGUCACAGCCAAGCCCCAGGCAGCUAUGGAGGAAAAAAAGAUGCAACUAUAAAGACUGUAGACUUCAAUUAAACCUGUCCAGUGACCCUGUGGUGAAGCAGCUGUAUACAUCACCUCAGCCCAACUUCUCCUGGAUCUGUACAAUUGGACAUCUUUGGAAGACCUCUGUUCUUCUGCCAUACCCAGCUAAUCUGUACCUUCUGGAAAGAAAGAUAAGCAGCAGGAUUGGUCUCAAGGUAUGUUAUAAAAAAAAAAAAAGAAAAAAGUGAUGAGACAAAAUGAAAUGAGCCUCUGAAAUGUAUGAAAGGAGAGUUGAAACUUCGCAGGCCUCAGAAAGGAGGGUGGUGGGGAAACCAGCCUCUGCACCAGAGAAUGUGCCAUGACUUGGUA